GCCAGGUGAGCGCGCCCCAGAGCUCAAAAUUCGUAGCUGGCUGCCCUGUGUCCACCCGGCGGACUACUGGCCAUGGAGCCGCGCACAGGGGACGCCGCGGACCCUAGGGGCAGCAGAGGAGGCCGCGGCCCCUCCCGGCUAGUCGGCCCCAGCGCCUGGCAGCUCCUGGCGCGGCUGGACGCGCGCCCCCUGGCGGCGCGUGCUGCGGUCGACGUGGCGGCGCUGGUACGCAGGGCGGGCGCCACAUUGGGCCUGCGCCGGAAGGAGGUUGUUAGCGUGCUGGACUCUGCGGACAUAGAGGUCACAGAUAGUCGCCUGCCUCAUGCCACUAUUGUGGAUCACCGGCCCCAGCACCGUUGGUUAGAGACAUGUAAUGCACCUCCCCAAGUGAUCCAGGGUAAGGCACGUAGUGCUCCGAAGCCAUCCCAGGCCUCUGGUCAUUUCUCUGUGGAGCUGGUCCGCGGUCACGCAGGCUUUGGCCUCACCUUAGGUGGGGGCCGGGAUGUUUCUGGGGACACUCCACUGGCCGUGCACGGGCUGCUGAAGGAUGGUCCAGCACAGCGCUGUGGUCGUUUGGAGAUCGGGGACCUUGUGCUCCACAUCAACGGAGAGUCAACGCAGGGCCUCACCCAUGCCCAGGCCGUGGAGCGGAUCCGAGCUGGAGGCCCCCAGCUCCACCUGGUUCUUCGUCGGCCUCUGGAGACCCACCCUGAUCGCAGCCCAGAUCCCGGAGGGCCGGAGGUAACGGGGUGUCGCAGCAGCAGCACUUCCCUAGUUCAGCACCCUCCAUCCCGGACGACGCUCAAGAAGACCCGGGGCAGCCCAGAGCCUAGUCCAGAGGCGGCCGCCGAUGGCCCCACGGUUUCUUCUCCUGAGCGCCGCACUGAGGAUCCCAACGACCAGAUCCCGGGUUCCCCGGGGCCCUGGCUAGUGCCCAGCGAGGAACGGCUCUCGCGGGCCCUAGGGGUCCGGGGGGCAGCGCAGCUCGCUCAGGAGAUGGCAGCCGGAAGGCGGAGGCACUGAGCCUACCUCUGACGGCGCGGGGCUCACUAGUUACCGCCCAACCUGGAUCCGGCGCGUGUGGCCUCCGGGCACUUGGCACUUCCCAGAGAGCUUCCACUUGGUCUGGUCCCCCCUCCCGCUGCGCAGUGGCUCUGCCCGCACUCCCCUUGCAGCGUCAGUGGUACGACCCUUCCAGCCCGACUAGCCUGCGCUUCUGGUUCUGGGAGGGAGAGGUGCACAGGGUCUCACACAUAAAUUAUUGUGCAUGGCAUGGAGAAUGCAGAGGUGAGCCUGUCGUGGCGGGACUGCACCAAUGUAUCCACAGUCCUGUCUCGGAAUCAUCCAGACCCUCAACUGACGUCGGGAUAGCAAGGCUGGAAGCCUAGAAGCAGGGCGGCUUCCUUCGCCAGGGGCCUCUGGUCUCCCACUUCCGGCCUAGUCUGCCAGCUUUUGCUGGCACGUAGGCUACCACUCUCCGGGCAUCGACUGGGGCCCUGGAUCCCCCGUUGGGGCGGAGCGGGGAAGGUGUGAGUCAGCGCCCCUGGGCGGGCCGGGCUAAAAAAGGCUGUUAGAACCUUUGGGCCGUGCCCCCAUUUUCCGUACAUGGUGAAGAACUGCAGCCGGGCUUGUGUGCACUCGCCACAUACUGGGCGUUCCCCGCACGGGAGAGGCCCAGAGUUUCCUUCACCCUGCGAACAGAGCCCCGAAGCCAGGGCUUAUAUGGCCAGCGGGACUCCAACCGGGGUAGCCGCGAGGAAGGCACUGGCAGAGGACAGAAAUGUCCAGUCACCUCCGCUGUCACCACAUCCUGAGCACUCGGCCCCAUCCCCCCCCCAGGAGGGAAGCUGUGGUCUGACGGAAUAGGCAACUUUCGCCCCUGUGGGGAGGGGACGGGGAAGGAAGAAAGAAUUUAAAGGAUCCGAGUGCGAGAGUUCAGGUGGCCUUGGAGAGGAGAGAGGAACGGCGAAGACAAGCUGCUAGAGCUGGGAGCUGGAGAGUGAAGAGGUGAACACUUGAGUGGUUAGAGCUGUAGAUAGACAUUGUGGGGAAGUGUGCCAGGGUGGCUUCCAGCUACCCCUGACUUAGAGCCUGGUGGAGAUGUGGUUCUUCAGAAGUCAGCAUAAGGCUCAAGAGCCCCAGUCCUAUAAAUACAGUCACACCCAAGAGACUAAUAAUAGUAACCCCAGCCACCAUGUACUUAGUUUUAUCCCUGCUACUGGCUCUAUUGCAAUAUUUAUUUUCAUCUACAAUAGUUGCACAUCUACUCAACGAUCCGAAUAUGUCCAUUUCACAGAGGAGGAAAGUGAGGCCCAGGGAGUGCAGAUAGCUUGAGAGAGGAGGAUCAAAGCAAGAUUUAAUCAAGGCCUGAUUCCCAAGUCUGUCCUCUUAAUUUCACCUGCAUUGAAACCCAACUGUAUACAUUGCACUGUGCUAGGUACUGUGGAGAUGCUGGAGGAACAAGACAUACAAUUUGUCUUUGUGUAGCUGAUGUAUGUAAUGAGGGUAGACAGAUGUCAGACAAAAAAGACAAGAAAAUGAAUAAAUAAAAAA